rnacentral:tRNA from 1 species
GGUCUCGUAGCUUAGGUUGGUUAUAGCACUUGACUCAUAAUCAAGAGGUCGCUGGUUCAAGUCCAGCCGAGACCA